CCUGAGAAACCCAAAAGAUCGAAUGGGGAGAUUCAUCGUCAGCGAUCCUGGCACGUGUGUGGUUCGUGAUGCCGGAGACUUCGGUCUCAUGGCACACGUCCGCAUGGUUAUGUUGCCGGGUGUCGUCGGCGUGCACUUCUCCCCUAGUAGGACGUCGCGACCCGUUGGGUGUCGGUCUACGGCCCGGGUGGGCGCCUGUCAUGUGCCACGCUUCACGGCGUCAUGUGGCAGACCCCCGGUUGUCUGACCAGCUGCUCGGCGGUACUCGCACGGUAUCGAGCCGCAAAUAUUCGAACUGCGUCCGGCCCGCCGCAAGCGAGGCCAGUGUUCCCGGAUGUACGGACCUAGCGCCGUCACCGGGCCUGGCCAGCUGUUGGUUGGCGGUGUCCUGGGACCGGCUUUAAAUUAUGAUACCGGUCGGCGACGCUACUGCUUUGGGUACUUUCAGG
rnacentral:rRNA from 1 species